AUGGAUGAGAAGAAAAGUCACCCACAAGAAAUCAAGACCUCAGACCUGCUCAACAGGUCUCCAAAUACUGCUGCAGUGAAUUUCCCAGUGGCACCAGAUGGAUCUCAGCCCACACCGCCCACCUUUCAGGUGUUCCACAGCACUGGCCGGCUUGCGCCCACUGUCUCAGGUGGCAGAGAUAUAGAGUAUCUGUGUUCAUUCCAAUUACUGAUGGGUUUGGAUUUAUUUUGUGAUUUCUGACCAUCCCUCCUUUUCUAUAUUUCUUUUACUCUUCCUCCUUGCGUUAUUUUGGAUUUUUUUUUUUCUCACUACAGUUUUUUCUUCUACUUAGUUCAGAAACAAUGUAUUCUGUUCUUAUUCUUUUGGCCAUUUCCUUAGACGUCUUUACGUACAGAUUUAAUGUGUCAGACUCUAAGGCUUUUCGGGGUUUCAUCUCCGGAGGCCUCCUACGGGCUGCCUGUAUCCACUCUCGCCUCCUACAGGCCAUUCUCUGCAUGGCAGUCAAGUGAGAUUUUUGGGUAAACUUUUUUUUUUUUUUAUGUGUAAUGUUUACUUAAAAUCACAGAUAAUCUCAUGUAAAGACAUCUAUGUGACCACAAACAUUUUUAGGAUAAAAAUAUCUUUUUACUAUUCUUUCAGAAAUGGAAUUACUCACCAAAAGAACAAAAACCAACCCAAGUAUCAUAAGAAGCAAAAAAAAAAAAAACAACAACACAAAAGAUUGCGAGUUCACUUUCUUUUUUAGUGGCUUAAAAAAAAACCCUACGUUUAUUUUUUCCGCUGAGGUAUGGUUUUCAUACAUAUUAAAAAUGCUAUGUAUAUUUAGUAUGUACAUAUUGAUGAGUUUAAAGAUAAGUAAACACCCAUGAAACUAUCACCACAAAGCUAUAAGCUUAACCAUCACUUCUAAAAGUUUCCUCUUUCCUUCUUUGUGUGCGUGUGUGUGAUAAGAACAUUUACUGUAAGAUCUGUCCUCUUUCAAAAAUUUUUAAGUAGACAGUACAGUAUUGUUAACUAUAUGCAUUAUGCUUUACAGUAGGUUCCUAGGACUUACUCAUCCUCUAUAACUAGAACUUCAUACCCAUUAAACACCAACUCCCCAUUCCUCUCUCCAGCGCCUGGUGACAUCAUUCUACUUUCUAUCUCUACACAUUUGGCUACCAGAUCCCUCAUAUAAGUGGAAUUAUCUUUGUCCUUUUGUGUCUGCCUAAUUUCAUGCAGUAAGUGGGAGAACUAACUU
rnacentral:lncRNA from 1 species